UAGGAGUCUCACAAAAACCCCAAG
rnacentral:piRNA from 1 species